UCCUGGCUCAGGAUGAACGCUAGCGGCAGGCUUAACNCAUGCAAGUCAGGGGUAGAAGCAAGCUUGCUGCUUUGAGACCGGCGCACGGGUGCGUAACGCGUAUGCAAUCUACCUUUUUACAGAGGGAUAGCCCAGAGAAAUUUUGGGAUUAAUACCUCAUAGUAUGUGAGAAUCGCAUGGGUUUUUCACAUUAAAGUUCCAACGGUAAAAGAUGAGCAUGCGUCCCAUUAGCUAGAUGGUAAGGUAACGGCUUACCAUGGCGACGAUGGGUAGGGGUCCUGAGAGGGAGAUCCCCCACACUGAUACUGAGACACGGACCCGACUCCUACGGGAGGCAGCAGUAAGGAAUAUUGGACAAUGGUCGGAAGACUGAUCCAGCCAUGCCGCGUGAAGGAUGAAGGCGCUCAGCGUUGUAAACUUCUUUUGUACGGGAACAAAAUGCGACCUGCGGGUUGUACUGAGGGUACCGUAAGAAUAAGCACCGGCUAACUCCGUG
rnacentral:rRNA from 1 species